AGCCUUCGUCAGUACCAGGCUGCAGGGUCGCUGCUGCAUCAACAACAACAUAAGCAGUAGCAGCAGGAAGCACAAGAUCAGCAACAGCAGCUAGACACUGAGGGCACAGAACCUAGUCUUCUUGGGCAAGUUUGGACUGCAGGACUACUAGGUGACGUGGACAAGAAGGUGGUCACUGUAAUAGGCAGCUUAACAUAUAAAAUGUCGAAUGAUGAUGAAAGUUCAGAAACUUUCCCUGCGACUGCAGCUUUGGCAGUGGGAAUGAAACGAAGAGAUGAUUUAUACACUUCAGUUAUUGCAAAUCUGAAAGAAAGACAGUGUGUUGUUUCCACUGAUGGAGUGUUGUGUGUAAUUACGAUAGCUGGAAAAUACACUACAAAUUUGAAGUGACAUUUGAAGACAUGUCAUCCUUCAGUGUUUUCAAAGAUUCUGGAGACUAUCACUGUACCAAAAACAGGCAGAGGAAAAGAUAAACAACAGACAACGCUUCCAAAUGUGAUUGCUUUGGCUUCAAAUUACCAUCCAGAAGCAAAAGAACAACAAACUAAAGAGAGAGCUCUAGCUUUGUGGAUAGGUCGUAGUGGUCUGCCAGCCCGGACAGUGGAGGACAAAGAAUUCAUUCUUGGAGGCAGUUGACAGAAGACUGACCAUCCCUGAGAAAACCAAAAUUACCAGCCUCAUCGAUAUCAAUUUUAAAGAUGAAAAAAAGAAAAGUAAAUAUCGAGUAGCCAGUGCACGGAAAAUAACAAUUGGUCUAGACAUUUGGACAACCAAGGGACUGACUGCUUCGUACCUUGCUAUAAGUGCAUGUUACUUUGCACUGUGCAAAACCAAUCUGAACAUAUACUUCUCUGUCUCGAAGAGAUCUCCCAUCCACAUACUGCUCAUUCCAUUAAAGCUUGUGUUGACCAGUGCACUGAAAUGUGGGGAAUACAAGAAAACAAAAUUCUUACAGUCAUCACAGAUAAUGGGAGCAACACGGUCGCUGCAUUCAGACUGGAAGAAGAUGAAAUAAGCACUGCAGAUUCUGAAGAGGAUGUGAGGGACAACAGGAAAGUGAGGAGGCAAGGUAUGGAUGCAUUAUGGAGCGGACACCCUGUUCUGUUUACACAUUGCAGUUAGUCAUCAACAUGGUCCACAAAGAAGUCUCUGUUGGCUGUCUCUUGGAAAAGGUGAAAUCAGUUGUCAAACAGUUUUGCAGGUCUUCAGUUGCAAUGGAGAAACUUCGCCAGCUCUGUGGACUUAUUUUAAUUAAAGAUUGUGUGACAAGAUGGUCCAGCACAUUUCUAAUGGUUUUAUGCCUCCUUCAGGUGUGGGUUUCUGUGGUCAAUAUAGCAGAGGAGAUGGACUGGGAUUGUCUCCUGCAAAGUGAGUGGAUCAAGCUAACUGCUAUCCGAGAUCUUUUGCUGCCCUUUGCUGAUCACACAAAAACACUUCAAAGUGAUACAAUUACUCACCUCUCUCAGUUCUCUCUUGUAUCAACUCACAGAGACCUACUUGGACUGGCAGAUAAAAUGAAAAUGAACCUGGAACAACGCUUCAGCUUCUUCCUAUUUCCCAAUGAGGCAAAGUUCUCUCCACUUGCAGCCACUGCUUGUUUUCUUGACCCAACAGUUGCUAUGGGAUCCAGACUCUAGGUCGACACUAUCUAGGUCG